rnacentral:lncRNA from 1 species
GUGGGAAGCUGUUUUGUCCUGUUUUUCACUGCAUCACGGUUUGAUUUCUGGUCCUCAAAGCAAUUAACAUUUGGCAUCAAACAGGGAAACAGACAGAGCCUCGCCCCCGCAAACGCCUCACUCACACGCAUGCAUGGACAUGCACACACCCACACAUGUGCACACUGCUGCUCGCCCAUGUGUCUGUCAUGACAGGGCGCUGUGUUUCCUACUCCCGCGGUCAUCCUGCUGGCAGAUGACCAGGUCCCAGGCAGUAGCAAUGCGGCACAGCUGCAGGAGAUCCGAAGCUGCCUGGGCUGUCCACAGUGGCGUGGGCCUCAGCUGCAGCUUCCAGCACAGCUGCUUAGAUAGGGCCAGCUUUUUUUUUUUUUUUUUAAACAAACCUGAAGCUCAUUGUGUGGUCGAAGAUGUGGUUUGCGAGUGCCCAUGGCAGGAUUCCCACUGCGGAGACUCCUGUACAUCGGGUAUGAGGCAGCACAUUGCGUGCAAUGCAUUCUGGUCUUUUUUCCUCCCUCCAGAAGAGGCUCCAUUUAUGUGUUAGGCUUUAAGAGGCUGGGCGUACCAAAAGGAAGUCUCUGAAACGCAGUCCUGUCGAACACCUCUGGAGUUGAUUCUUCUGAUAUCACAGGAGUUCUUCCUAUCACUGUAUAUUAUUGGGUGCGAGCCCCCGGUCCUUCCUCUAUGAGGAGGCAGUGGAGGGAAGAGUUGAACCUCUUCUCGCACACACACCUGAGACUCCCUGGCUCUCUCUGUGGGCCACAGGAUGGGCUUCAGUUAUGGCGAGUAAUAAUUUUGUUAUCGCGGUUUUUACAUUGAUUUGGAACAUGGUGUUACACAAAAUGCUGAAAUUGAAAAAGACAGGAUGAGUCACCUUUGCCCUGUCUCCUCUUCAAGUCUGAUCCUAAUUGAACGGAGAGUGCAAACUGCACGCCAAGAUUUGCAGAACAAAGGCCUCCCCGCCCACGAGUUCCUCAUGGCCUUGCCUCAGUCCCCGAAAUCCCGCUGUUAGCCUCCCUCACUAGAAUAAGGCAUUAGCACAGAAGCCAACGUUGGGGGAAAAGAAAAUCAAUACAGCGUGGAAGAGAAAGCAGGAAGCCAUGGAGGGAGGAAGAGACUGAGGCUCCGGCUGGAAGGACUUCGUUUGUGAUAAGAGCAGAGAGGAAAAGCAGCAAGAAAGAAAAGUCGCUGUACACUUUGGGUCUGGACAUCAAAGAAACAAAGGAAAUGCUUAGAUUCAGAGUGGCACGUGUGUAGAAAAAAGUCCUGCUUUCCUGUCUUGGGGGACACCACUAUCAUCCCAUGUAAGUGACCAGUGCUCCCCAAGUGGCCCUCUCCUGGCAUUUCACUGAGACACAAGCUCCCUGAAAGCUGGGGCUUACCUGACCAUGUGCCCCCUGCACUCCCAGGGCUGAGACCUGCGUCUGGUCCCUGCUAGACACCCAGCGAGGGUUGACAGCAUGAGCGAAUGAGCUUCUCCGUCUGCCCGUAAGUGUGAUGGACACCUUCUCCUACAGCCACCCGUUUCACACAUCAGGCAAACGUCUGUCAAGUCCACUCCUGAAAAUCCUGAAGGAUGUGGCAUUGGACAGGUGAUGCAGUCACAGCCUCGCCCUAGGCCACUCCGGGUCUCUGCUGCCAGGCUACGAGGAGCAGAGAAACACAGGUCCUCUAGCGCAGAUACUUUCUCCAUGCAAGUCUUGAACUUCUGAAAGUCAUCCA